rnacentral:rRNA from 1 species
UGGGGAAUAUUGCACAAUGGGCGAAAGCCUGAUGCAGCGACGCCGCGUGAGGGAUGACGGCCUUCGGGUUGUAAACCUCUUUCAGUACCGACGAAGCGAAAGUGACGGUAGGUACAGAAGAAGCACCGGCCAACUACGUGCCAGCAGCCGCGGUAAUACGUAGGGUGCAAGCGUUGUCCGGAAUUAUUGGGCGUAAAGAGCUCGUAGGCGGCUUGUCGCGUCGGCUGUGAAAACCUGGGGCUCAACCCCGGGCCUGCAGCCGAUACGGGCAAGCUAGAAUUCGGUAGGGGAGACUGGAAUUCCUGGUGUAGCGGUGAAAUGCGCAGAUAUCAGGAGGAACACCGGUGGCGAAGGCGGGUCUCUGGGCCGAUAUUGACGCUGAGGAGCGAAAGCGUGGGGAGCGAACA